rnacentral:rRNA from 1 species
UACGGGGGGAGCAAGCGUUGUUCGGAUUUACUGGGCGUAAAGGGCGCGUAGGCGGUCAGCACAAGUCAGUUGUGAAAUCUCCGAGCUUAACUCGGAAAGGUCAACUGAUACUGUGCGACUAGAGUGCAGAAGGGGCAACUGGAAUUCUCGGUGUAGCGGUGAAAUGCGUAGAUAUCGAGAGGAACACCUGCGGCGAAGGCGGGUUGCUGGGCUGACACUGACGCUGAGGAGCGAAAGCGUGGGGAGCGAACAGG